CAAUAAAUAAAUUUAAAUUCAAGAGGUGUAAACUUUUUGUAAUUUUUUUGUAAACUUUUUGU
rnacentral:tRNA from 1 species